rnacentral:rRNA from 1 species
AUUGAACGCUGGCGGCAGGCCUAACACAUGCAAGUCGAACGGUAGCACAGAGAGCUUGCUCUCGGGUGACGAGUGGCGGACGGGUGAGUAAUGUCUGGGAAACUGCCCGAUGGAGGGGGAUAACUACUGGAAACGGUAGCUAAUACCGCAUAACGUCGCACGACCAAAGUGGGGGACCUUCGGGCCUCACACCAUCGGAUGUGCCCAGAUGGGAUUAGCUAGUAGGUGGGGUAAUGGCUCACCUAGGCGACGAUCCCUAGCUGGUCUGAGAGGAUGACCAGCCACACUGGAACUGAGACACGGUCCAGACUCCUACGGGAGGCAGCAGUGGGGAAUAUUGCACGAUGGGCGCAAGCCUGAUGCAGCCAUGCCGCGUGUAUGAAGAAGGCCUUCGGGUUGUAAAGUACUUUCAGCGGGGAGGAAGGCGGUGAAGUUAAUAACUUCACCGAUUGACGUUACCCGCAGAAGAAGCACCGGCUAACUCCGUGCCAGCCGCCGCGGUAA